GCUGCCUCCUCCGCGCCGCGGCCCCCGGCUCUGCCUUCACCGCCGCGGGGGGGUGUGACAGGCACCCGCCUGGCCUCCAGCAGCGCCCCCGCGCUGUCGUGCUCCGGCUUUGGCUUUGGGCAUGAAAGGCUCUGGUAACGUUCCUCUCCCCCUUGGCCGGAGGCUGCUCACUGGGAGCCGAGCGCAUCCAUUCCCCUGGCCUGCCCCUCUCCUCCUCGCUCGGGGGCUCGGGCACCGGGCAGCCCGCUGGCCCGCAAGCAGCUCGUCUCCUGUCCCGGCUGGUGGCUAUGCAGAGGAGGAAGGUGGCGGCGGCGAUUCCCGCAGGCUUGGUGCUGCGCGGGGCACUGGCACAAUUUCCCAGCACGAUCUCCAUGUACAGCUACAUCUUUCGGGCAGCUCGUGUUAAUAUAUGUCGUCAGAGGCUUCCUCCGCCAAUCCCGCGCGGCAGGGGCGGGGCCCUCGGCGCUCCGCAAUAAAACUUUUUGAUGUUCGCGUUGCUAAUUGCCGAGCUCCUCUUUUAGGAUUGGCUGCCCAGUCAUAUCCCUAAUAUAAUUAAAACAAGGGAGGAAAAAACUUUUAUCAUGGAGGCAGAGGUUAAUGCAAGUGUUUAGCAGAUGCUGUUCGGCAAAAUCUUCUUUUUAAAUAAACUCAUUAAAACAAAAUAUUGGAUCAUUUCAACCCAGCUUGCUAAAUUAAUGUACAUACCACGACAUCUAUUCAUCCGAACCAGUUAUAUGCCUGAAAUCAGUUGCAUGCUUGUUUAACUAGCCUGAUUGGAGCUUUUCAAUAUAAUUCUGGAUGCGUUGUAAUUGUGAAAGUUUCUGGUGAACCGCUACUACUGUCCCGAUAACAUCUCAAGUGAUGAAAGAAACGGAAAACAUGAGGCAAAGAAAAAGAAUAAUGCAAUAAGUUAGGCUUCUGCAUCCACCGGUUAAGUCUCUUCGAACUGGAUAAGCAAGAAGAGCAAGAGACGAGAAAAGUCUCUUAAUAAUAUACUGGAACUGAGUACAUGGCAUUUUGUCAUGUAAAGCUCAGCGGAUGAUCUGUGCCAGCAGAGGAAUCCUACGGAGGGCGCAAUUCAGCAGCAGCGUCUUCACCUUCCCUGAGUGCAAUAUGAAGUGUAUAGCUAUCUGCUGUACAAGACACAGCCCAAAGAAGCAAAGCUUCACAAUUGUUUUUCGGUCCCAGUGGUUGUCAUUGUAGUUCAUCAUAUGUGCAGACACGCUAUACGCUCCCCCUUUCUUCUCCCGAACAGCCAGAGAGCAGCUCAAACAUUUAUUUUGCAUCUUACUUGUCUUCCCCCCCUCCCCGCGAAAAGAUUCAAAGUGCAUGAUAGCGGUUGGAAAAACAUUUUUCAGGUUGGUCGUGUGUGCUAUUUUUGAAAGCAGUCAGAAUUAAACUAAAUAUUUAAAAAAGAGUAGAUAGCUCAUGGUUUUGUGAAAAAUACUGAUCUUUUCAUAUAUUUAUUUUCUUCUGUUUAUCCAAGAUAAAUAAAAGUAAACAGGCCAUAAGGGUUUAAUGAAAUUAAACAGGCCAAAGGAAUAGAACCGCAUGUUUUAUGUUUUAGGAGACUGACCUCCUAAUAAGUGUUGUCCUUUUCUAAACUCCAUUUUACAUUAUUUUUAAAAUAGAGAGGUGAAUUUAACAAACCAUCAAACACACAAAAGCUCCUGGAGGGGGGGAGUAGAUUAAAAUAUAAAGCAAAGAAUCAAUGGAAUCUAUAGCUUUGAAAACUGAAAUAUAGUAUAAUACCUGGUAAAUUAAAGAAUUUCACAUACCAAUGUCUUCCCUAAAGAACCAAAUUCAUCCAGCAUUGUCCAAUUCUCAACAUUAGUUUAAUAACUUAAAAAAUAAUAAUCCAUGGUGUACAUUGGCUGGAUAACCUUAUUCUGAAAAGCCUUCCUAGCAGGGGUAAUUCUUACUCAAGGAAGUAGUUACCCUUACUCAAUGGGACAAUUGUCUUGAGUAACAACAGCUCAUGUAAGUAAGGAUUUGCAGGAUCGGGCCCAAGAGGUAUCUCUAGCAUCUUUCAUGAAUAAGCUAAUGAAUUUUUCUAUUCUGAUUUUAGAAUGAUCUUGCUUAGAAGAUUGUUGUUCCUAAUUAGGUUCUAAGUAAUCUAAACAAAACACACAAUUUUAGUGUUUAAGUUCUCCUUUACCUUAUCCCUCCAAAAUAUUAUGGAACACAGAAUCUUGGCUUUUUGAAUGCGGAAUUAAAAUCUGGCCCGUGGCUGGAAAUGUUUAGAUCAGGUACCCCCAGCUUCUUCUAACUACAGUACCUGGCUGGGAGCAGAGGAGCAGAAAGAUGGAGCUUUUUUGUGGGUGGUUAAAAACGGAGGCCUUUACAAGCCAACUCUGGUUUGACCCCUUCACCUCAUGGGAGGAGCCAGGGUUCCCCUUAUCCCUGUUUGUGUCCUAACUACCUCACAGCAAGCACUGUCUCCCCGUGAAUCGUUUGAAAAGUUUAGAUGUGUUCAAAUUUAUAGAGUGCAUAAUGUCAUUGACCUGAGACCAAAUAUAUUAGAAAGAGAGAUAAUUCUCAAAUAUAUUUUGAAGUGUCUAAGUACCAAGUGCCCUAUGGAUGGCAAUCUACAUACUACUAAACCUCCAGUUAGAAGUCCAUAAACUAAACUCAACAUAGAAACCCUGCAAUAAUAUGGAGUUUUGAAGGGACGCUGGAGAAAUAUCAUUUGAAGUCAAACCUGUCAAUUCGCGUUAAUGAAAAUAACUCUUGCCACGUUAGUUGCACUCAGUUACACUCGUGCAGCCACAUCAUUGAUUUCAACGGGUCUAGCAAAGGGCAGAAUUUGGCCCUGCAAGUCUGCUUUAAUUGCUGCGGAUGGACGUAUAGAAACCCUGGUGUUCGUUACUAUUAUCAGUACUGAAGGGUGCAAAUAUUUAAGGCAUGAUAAUCUGUGCCAUUAAGUAUGUAUUUUAUACAUACGCGUAUAUAAACCCCAACAACAAGAUAGCGUUCACUUUGUAAGUUUAAAUGAUGUGCAAUAAACCCACAAACACACCAAUUUUACCCCUGCAUGUGUGAGUAAUUAUUCAAAGAUUGCUUCUAUUUGGGACGAAGGAUACAGAGUUGUAUUGAUGCCACUUAAAAGAAUUUAAGAAACCCAGUGAUCCCCAGAAGAAUAAUAAAGCCUUCAUAAAAUACUCUAUUGAACAGACAAUAUUUCUUAUUGAGUUUGUGGUGUUCACAUAGUUUCCCCUCGUUUAAUGUUUGCAUUCCUGGGGGAACUGUGUUUUGAAGCUGCUUUUAAAAUCAGUGCUGAUGGGAUUGCUUGGGCGAAAGGAAUUGUUUUGAUCAAUAAAUAUUUUCCUGAUAACAUUAGGUUUACGUGCUUGCGGGAAACAAAGAUUAGCCUGGCAUUACUUUGGUUGUAUGCUAACAAAAAAUAAGCACUUUUAUUGUCAAUAUUAAUGGAGACCCUCAACUUAGGUUUGGUUUUAAGCAGUGUUCAGAGAUAAAAAGCAACCCUAUUUGACCUAAAAAUAUCCCACUUCAGCUUCGACAAUUAACUGUAAUUUUGCCCAAACUGCCACAAUGUUAACGUCGUACUUUCUGUGCCACUCGGUUCAUCUACCUGCUGUAACAUAUUGUGCUAUGACUUGCCCACUAAUUAUUCAAAUACAAAGACUUGUGGUUGAAAGCAGCUGCCUACAGCAAAUGUUGUGUAACACACUCGUUCAGAAGCAUCAGUGUGUUUAGCUGCAACCACCACAAUUCCUAUAUAUGUAUCUACAUGUAAUUGAUCUAGUUGAGUGACGUCCUUUUUGGUAAUUUGGAUACACCAAGUCUCCAGUUAAUGACACAUAAUCAGCCUUUAGGUCACUUGGUCAUUCUCUUAUUACAAACCCCUCCUGCUCUCUCUGAUCUCCUUUCAAACUAAAUUUCACACAAACAAAUAAAGUAAGACAGGGACAAGGGAGAAAUAUUGGAAAACUUUUGAUAGAGCACUAUAAACAUUUGAGAAGAAAAUCUAAAAGAGGAUAGGAAAGAACAUCUUAUCAAAAAGAGAGCAUUGUGUACAAAACUUGAAGAGAAAAAGUUUCUGGCUUAUGUUAGAAAUGACACAAAAUUAAAAUAAAAAUAAUUACUAACAGAAAUGUCAUAACAUAAACACAGAAGGCAGGAGACUUACUGGAAAUGCGCACCAGUAGUGUAAUUUAUUGUUAUAGAUUAUACAACCGAUAUGUGAUUCGAAAAAUGUUUCUUUGACUCACUUUGACCAGCAAAACCUUUUUAUUUUUUACACUUAUUUUAUUAAAGCGAAACUGAACAAACUGAGAAAUAAAGACCAAAAUGUAAUUUACUUGUAAAAAUCUAUAGAAAAAAAAUGAAACGACUUCAUGGAUAUAGCAUUGUGUUAACGUGAUAAUAAAAAUCAAUAUUUUAUGUAACUAAGAUCUUAACAUAGUUUUUCUUUUUUUACCAGCAGGAGGUAAAGAACCAUUUUACUAGAUACUUUAAGAAUAUUCUUUUGAUCUGCGUCCAGCCAUAGGAUUCAGAAGGCGAUUAUUGAGCAUGUAAGUAGAGCUUUUGCAUCCUUUAGGAGACUUUACACAGGAAGAAAAAUUGAGCAACUAAUACACUGAAAGGAAACUCACAAGGCCUCAGGUAUUAUAAAUCUUAUGUGUUCAUUACAUUCACAAUCUUUUUAGGCAUUUCUAGAACACAUUUUCAUCCACAUGUAAAAAGUUCAGCUAAAAUAUUCAUGCUUAGCAGUGUUAUUAUCCUAUAGAGUAAAUCAAAUGGCAAUGUAUUGAGAAAUCCUGUACACUAUAAUCUGAUUUUCUGUCUUUCUGGGUACAUACACUUGUAUAUUUAAAUUCCCGAAGUAUGGAAAGUGGCUGGUGAUCCUCCUCCUCAAGUAUACUGUCAAAUAUUGCAUUUCAAGGGCCAGUGCCUCCCAUCAGAAAGUAUCAUACAGACUUAAUCCCACCCAACAUGGAGUAGUCUGCUAGGCAUGCAUACGCAAUAACUAACUUGCCCCUUGGUAACUCAGUGGGCACUCAGGGAGCAGAGCAGAAUUUAGACAUUGGAGGUUGUGAAUAAACACUGUUAUAAUAGCAUGCCAUUGGGUUACCGUUGUGCUUCUGGAGUGAUAUUUGAGUGGAAGGCUGAGUUUUGAACGAGAAAUUAAAGGAAUUAUAGUUUGAAUAAAAACAGCUCAAGUCACUCGAAUUACAUGGGCAAGGGAAUGCAUCAAAACGCCAUCUCUGGGAGGGGUGAUUCCCAAUGUGCAGAAUACCUCAUUGUUACUGUACCCCUAGUAUGACUCGCCAGAGGACACAAGCCCCCCCGCACACACGCUAAGGACCAAGUCAGGCCCUGCUAACUCAGGUAGUUCUACCUAGGCGCUUAAUGCUAUUUGAAUAGGGGAUGGGGCUCAUGGGGUUGAUUUACAGAUUCUUUUAACCCCUCGAUCAGCCCUCGUGGCCUGAAGUGGGCGAGAUAGUUGUUUUAAAUACUAUCUCUGGGUGACUCUGCGUUCCCUGGGCUCUCAGACGCUGCGCGUUUGAUCUGAGGCGCUGAUGUUCCCCCUCCAUUUAUCUUCCGCAGAACCCGGCCUUUGUCUCCCAGCAUCUCAAUCAAGCUGCAUAGCUGAGCGACGGUGUCAAAUCCCCCCAAUUCGCGGUCAGAUCUGAGAGGGAGAGGCUUCUUUCCUGCGCACGUUCGCUUCAGAUUUGAAUGCAGUCCCUUUAAAGAUCUAGAGGGGAUGUUCCUGUGACACAGAAGCUCCUUGGCAAAGGGUGCCCUGUUCUUUGCAAGGAACUCUAAUUUCAGACCUGAAAAACUCACUACACCAAACAUGUCUUGCAGGAUAUUUAUCCAUAAAAAAGAUGGAAGUACAAGUAGUUGAAGAGCUGCCUUGAAGAAGAGAUUUAAAGAAAAAGAAAAGAGGCCAACACCUCAAACCAGAUGUGGCCCAAAUUCAGUGGGCUAUUCAUUCGUAGCAGAGGUUGCAGCAGGAGAAGAUAAUUUGCAUAGUAACCACCACUAGAGAGGGAAGAACCACCAUGGAUUUAUCUUCCAGACCUCAUGGCUCUUUUAGUCAGCAUGAACUAAUGAAUUUUAUCUGGGGUACCCUUCAGAAGAAUACAAUUCAAAGGUUCAUUGAACUAGUAAGAGAGGGAGAGUGUACCCCUAAGUUAUCCUUCACUUUAAGGAGUCAAAGAAACCAAGUAAUUUGGUGUCUGUGAUGGGUCCAGGGCCUGGCCAGGCCAGCCAGUGAAAAGCUAGAAAGAAGACUGGGUGAGAGAAAACAACUUGAACAAAGACUUUACCUUGCUAGAUUGAGGGCAGGUCUACACUACAGCAGGGAUCGAUGCUCUGAGUAAAGGCCCACCAAAUUGACUGCAGAUCACUCUCCAGUCGACCCCGUACUCUCUCCCGAUGAAAGGAGUAAGGUAAGUCAAUGGGAGAUUUUCUCCUGUCGACCCCU